rnacentral:rRNA from 1 species
GGUUCAUUCAAAUAUCUGCCCUAUCAACUUUCGAUGGUAGGAUAGUGGCCUACCAUGGUUUUAACGGGUAACGGGGAAUAAGGGUUCGAUUCCGGAGAGGGAGCCUGAGAAACGGCUACCACAUCCAAGGAAGGCAGCAGGCGCGCAAAUUACCCAAUCCCGACCGGGGAGGUAGUGACAAUAAAUAACAAUAUAGGGCUCUUUUGGGUCUUAUAAUUGGAAUGAGUACAAUUUAAACCCCUUAACGAGGAACAAUUGGAGGGCAAGUCUGGUGCCAGCAGCCGCGGUAAUUCCAGCUCCAAUAGCGUAUAUUAAAGUUGUUGCAGUUAAAAAGCUCGUAGUUG